AACCUAGCACACCUGCGGUGUGUACCUGCGGAAGGAUCAUUACAAGUGACCCCGGUUUACCACCGGGAUGUUCAUAACCCUUUGUUGUCCGACUCUGUUGCCUCCGGGGCGACCCUGCCUUCGGGCGGGGGCUCCGGGUGGACACUUCAAACUCUUGCGUAACUUUGCAGUCUGAGUAAACUUAAUUAAUAAAUUAAAACUUUCAACAACGGAUCU
rnacentral:misc_RNA from 1 species